rnacentral:tRNA from 2 species
AAUAAAAUGGCUGAGGAUAAGCGAUAAAUUGUAAAUUUAUUAACGGGGAAUAUUUCUCUUUUAUUA